rnacentral:rRNA from 1 species
CCCUUAGAUGUUCUGGGCCGCACGCGCGCUACAAUGAUGCAGGCAACGAGUGCCGCUCCUUAGCCGAAAGGCUUGGGGAAUCUUGAAAACUGCAUCGUGCUAGGGAUAGAUGAUUGCAAUCGUGCAUCUUGAACGAGGAAUGCCUUGUAAGCGUGAGUCAUCAACUCGCGCUGAAUACGUCCCUGCCCUUUGUACACACCGCCCGUCGCUCCUACCGAUUGGAUGGUCCGGUGAACUGGUCGGACUGCUGUUUGAAAUUGCGGGUGCAGUUGAUUCACGGGAAGUCUAGUAAACCUUAUCAUCUAGAGGAAGGAGGAGUCGUAACA